GACGAACGCUGGCGGCGUGCUUAACACAUGCAAGUCGAACGGAAAGGCCCUGCUUUUGUGGGGUGCUCGAGUGGCGAACGGGUGAGUAACACGUGAGUAACCUGCCCUUGACUUUGGGAUAACUUCAGGAAACUGGGGCUAAUACCGGAUAGGAGCUCCUGCUGCAUGGUGGGGGUUGGAAAGUUUCGGCGGUUGGGGAUGGACUCGCGGCUUAUCAGCUUGUUGGUGGGGUAGUGGCUUACCAAGGCUUUGACGGGUAGCCGGCCUGAGAGGGUGACCGGCCACAUUGGGACUGAGAUACGGCCCAGACUCCUACGGGAGGCAGCAGUGGGGAAUAUUGCACAAUGGGCGGAAGCCUGAUGCAGCAACGCCGCGUGCGGGAUGACGGCCUUCGGGUUGUAAACCGCUUUCGCCUGUGACGAAGCGUGAGUGACGAUAAUGGGUAAAGAAGCUCCGGCUAACUACGUG
rnacentral:rRNA from 1 species